CACGAACGCUGGCGGCAGGCUUAACACAUGCAAGUCGAGCGCCCCGCAAGGGGAGCGGCGGACGGGUGAGUAACGCGUGGGAAUCUACCCAUCUCUACGGAAUAACGCAUGGAAACGUGUGCUAAUACCGUAUACGUCCUUCGGGAGAAAGAUUUAUCGGAGAUGGAUGAGCCCGCGUUGGAUUAGCUAGUUGGUGGGGUAAAGGCCUACCAAGGCGACGAUCCAUAGCUGGUCUGAGAGGAUGAUCAGCCACACUGGGACUGAGACACGGCCCAGACUCCUACGGGAGGCAGCAGUGGGGAAUAUUGGACAAUGGGCGCAAGCCUGAUCCAGCCAUGCCGCGUGAGUGAUGAAGGCCCUAGGGUUGUAAAGCUCUUUCACCGGUGAAGAUAAUGACGGUAACCGGAGAAGAAGCCCCGGCUAACUUCGUACCAGCAGCCGCCGUAAUAC
rnacentral:rRNA from 1 species